GACGAACGCUGGCGGCGUGCCUAAUACAUGCAAGUCGAACGCAGUGGGGACGGGUUAUUAACACGUGGGUAACCUACCAUCAGAGGGGGUAACACUUGGAAACAGGUGCUAAACCGAUACUGAUGGAUGGACCCGCUGUGGAGUAGCUAGUUGGUGGGGUAACGGCUCACCAAGGCCACGAUGCUUAGCUGAUCUGAGAGGAUGACCAGCCACACUGGAACUGAGACACGGCCCAGACUCCUACGGGAGGCAGCAGUGGGGAAUCUUCGGCAAGGGGCGAAAGUCUGACCGAGCAAUGCCGCGUGUGUGAAGAAGGCUUUCGGAUCGUAAAACUCGUUUGUUAGGGAAGCGGUAUCUAACCAGGAAGCACCGGCUAACUCCGUGCCAGCAGCCGCGGUAAUUC
rnacentral:rRNA from 1 species